GGGAGGAGCCGCCCCGGCCUGCGCAGACGGUUCAGUCCAGACGCGUAUGGGAGGAACACCUAAUAUCACGCCUCUCUACGCUUCAGUUUCUCCAGCUCUGCUCCGCAGACGGUGACUCUUGGAGUUCCCGUCGUGGCGCAGCAGAAGCAAAUCCGACUAGGAACCAUGAGGUUGCAGGUUCCCGACCCUGGCCUCGCUGAGUGGGUUAAGGAUCCCACAUCACCUUGAGCUGUGGUGUAAGUCGUAGACGCGGCCAGGAUCUGGCAUUGCUGUGGUGUAGGCCGGCAGCUCCAGUUAGACUGCUAGCCUGGGAACCUCCACAUGCUAUCUGUAAGUGGGAAAACCUGACGUCUCUACAUGUUGAGCAGAUCUUUGCAGAUUCGUGCUGGGUUAUCUCGAGUGCCAAGAGGACUCUUGAUGCUGCGCAGUAAAUCGCUAAGCUUGGAAACCAAGAAGCAUGCAUGGGGAGAAGGAUCUGCGGAGCGGCAUCUGUCUCUGUGGUAGCCUUGACAACCAGCAGUCAGCAGCCUCCAAUCGCACCGAAAACAAGAAGCCUGAAAACCACAGGAGGGAGCAUAAUAGGGCUGGAGUCGCUUCAAAGCCUCAUUUCCAGUGAAAUGUCAUUUGACCUGUCUGAUGGUUCCCUUGAAGACAUCAUUUGAAGGCUGUCUUUAUUUUACCUCAGAGCUCACUCAAUGCUAAAAGCCUUUUUCCAAGGAGCAUUAAAAUUUUUUUUUUUAAGAUGGAGUUGUUUAACUUUGUGGCUGACUGAAACAUAGAAAACAGUUGAUGCAAACAAUAAGCUAAGAAAAAGCUUACAAGGAAAAGCUAGGCAAUGAGGUUUCCUCAGAGACUGAGAAAAGCCCUGACAUAUUCCUAGGAAUCUAGAAGUCCCUGUGCACAUGCUCAGGAAAAACCCAAGAAGGCUUCCAGCUCUCUCCUCUGGUUGACCUUCAAUCUUUGAGAAAAUAGGAAGACUCAGGUGUACCUGUCAGUUGCCUGGCUGAGCACUGAAGGGUGCUCAAUAUUCCCACAGAGACCUUUCACAAAAACUUGGAGACUUAGUGGUUCUGACAUUUAAGGAAAUCUCUUUCCUGUCAUUAGCUGACCAGUAAGCUAACAGUACAGACUUCAGUGGUUAGAUAUGUCAAAGAAUACAGAUUUUAUGCAGUAGGAAGCAUCACUAAACCACAAAAACAAAAAAUAAAAAUAAACAUUGAGGUUAGGGUAGAGUAUUUGGUUUCCAGAGAUGCCACAUUAUUUAAAAUGUCCAGUUUUCAAGAAAAAAAUGACCAGACAUGCAAGGUAACAUUAAAGUCUGGCCCCUAUAGAUGGAAAAAAUGCAAGCAGUCAAUAGAAACUGUCCCUGAGGAAGCCCAGCUGUUGAACUUAGUAGGCCAAGACUUUAAUUAGCUCGUUUAGAUAUGUUCAGAGAACCAAAGGAAACCAUAUCUACAGAGCUAAAGGAAAGUAUGAAAAAGAUGUCUUACCACAUAAUAUCAAAAAGAUGGAAAUUAAGAACCAAGGGGAAGUUUUAUAGUUGAACAUAACUGAACUGAAGAUUUACCAGAAAGGCUCAAUUCUAGAUUUCACUGGACAGAAGAAUCAAUGAAGUUGAAAACAGUUUACUGAGAUUAUCCAGUCAGAGGAAUAAAGAAAAUGAGUGCAGAAAAUGAACAGACCUAGAGAUGUACGGGACACCAUAAAACAUAUCAAUGUAUGCAUAAUGGGUGUCUCAGAAAAGAGAAAAAGGGGCAGAAAGAGUAUUUGAAGAAAUAAUGGCUGAAUAUAUCCCAAGGUUGAUCAAAAACAUUACGUUCCACAAAACGAGUUCAAUGAAUUCCCCUAGACACAUCAUAAUCAAACUGUCAAAAGCUAAAGACAAUCCUGGAUGCAGAGGGAAGAGACUCAUCACAUCUAAGGCAUCAGAUUUUUCAUCAAACACCAUUAAGUGGCCUCUGCGAGUCCCAGAGAGACAGCAGAAGGAAACUGGGUUCCACUGGGUUCAUACUGGCCAAGAAGGAAGACAGGAGAGAAAAAGAAGGAGAAAACAGAAACUA
rnacentral:lncRNA from 9 species